UACGAAGGGUGCAAGCGUUACUCGGAAUUACUGGGCGUAAAGCGUGCGUAGGUGGUUUGUUAAGUCUGAUGUGAAAGCCCUGGGCUCAACCUGGGAAUUGCAUUGGAUACUGGCAGUCUAGAGUGCGGUAGAGGGUAGCGGAAUUCCCGGUGUAGCAGUGAAAUGCGUAGAUAUCGGGAGGAACAUCCGUGGCGAAGGCGGCUACCUGGACCGGUACUGACGCUGAGGCGCGAAAGCGUGGGGAGCAAACAGG
rnacentral:rRNA from 1 species